GACGAACGCUGGCGGCGUGCUUAACACAUGCAAGUCGAACGCUGAAGCUUGGUGCUUGCCCUGGUUGGAUGAGUGGCGAACGGGUGAGUAAUACGUGAGUAACCUGCCCUUGACUCUGGGAUAAGCCUGGGAAACUGGGUCUAAUACUGGAUACGACAUGUCACCGCAUGGUGGUGUGUGGAAAGGGUUUUCCUGGUUUUGGAUGGGCUCUCGGCCUAUCAGCUUGUUGGUGGGGUAAUGGCUCACCAAGGCGACGACGGGUAGCCGGCCUGAGAGGGUGACCGGCCACACUGGGACUGAGACACGGCGCAGACGCCUACGGGAGGCAGCAGGGGGGAAUAUUGCACAAUGGGCGGAAGCCUGAUGAAGCGACGCCGCGUGAGGGAUGACGGCCUUCGGGUUGUAAACCUCUUUCAGCACGGAAGAAGCGAAAGUGACGGUACGUGCAGAAGAAGCGCCGGCUAACUACGUG
rnacentral:rRNA from 1 species